CCAGAUCAACUUCCGUGCACUUUUGUUUGAGGAACCGAAUUUCCUCCGCUAAUUAAUUUUUCCAGAAUUAGUUGCGAACUUAUUGAAACAUCGACAUAGCGCGUCCAUCGUGACUUUAAAGAAGUAAAAUAUCGUUUAAGUCUUCGUGUCCGGAUAAACUCGUCUUGGUGGUGCACGUUGAAGCUUCUCGGCCUAGUUAGCUUAGUUUAGCACGCUAUCCGUUUACAAAGAGACGCGUUUGUCAGCAACGCAUCACAAAUUAGAGAUCGCCUGUGAUUAUCGUGUGCAAAAUGUGUGCAAGAACGACAGUUAAGUACGAGAACAAACUUUCUGGAACGAAAGAGGAGGACGAGCCACAACGUCAACUUGUGGACACUGUUCGCAUGCAACCUCGUGUUGUGUUACACAGAGCAGACGUCAGUGAAAAUCUUCAUCCAGAGCGGAAGCAGUCAGUAUCCCCUCACAUCAAAGAGGAAGAGGUUCAACUUAUCAAGGAGGAGGAGGAAGAGUUCUUACACAUGAAAGAGGAAGAGCAGGAGGAAAUCAUCAAGGUUCCAUUGAAUGGUGUCCAUUUGAAGACUGAAGAUGAAGGUCAACGUGAGGAGAGCAGAGGGGCGGAGCCUUCAAGCAGGAACUCCGCAAGUGAUGGAGACCACUGUGGAGGAUCACAAGCAGAGGGUCUCUUAGCUCCACUAUCAAAUAGUGACGACAUGACGUUGCACUCUACUCACACUGAUGAAAAUGACGCUGAUGAACCGUCUGACGGUGAUAUGACACGUCACACUAACAACAAACAAUCGAAAUGUUCUCAGUCUGGGAAAAAAAUUGUGAAGAAGGCCAUUUUGAAACAAACUGUGAGAACACACACUGGAGAAAAACCUUUUUCCUGUUCAGAUUGUGGCCAAAGAUUCUCUUACAAGGGACAUUUGACAGGUCACGCAAGAACACAUACUGGUGAGAAACCUUUUUCCUGCUCAGUUUGUGGUCAAAGAUUCUCCCUAAAGAUGAACUUAAAAAGACACACAAGAACCCACACUGGUGAGAAACCUUUUGCAUGCUCAGUUUGUGGUCAAAGAUUCUCUCGAAAAGGACAUUUGACACGUCACACAAGAACACACACUGGAGAGAAGCCUUUUACAUGCCCAGUUUGUGGUCAAGGAUUCUCUGUAAAGGAAAGCUUAAAAUCACACAAAAGAACCCACACUGGUGAGAAACCUUUUGCCUGCUCAGUUUGUGGUCAAGGCUUCUCCCAAAAGGUGAACUUAAAUUGUCACACAAGAACCCACACUGGCGAGAAGCCUUUUGCCUGCUCUAUUUGUGGUCAAAGAUUCUCCGUAAAGAUUAACUUAAAAAGACACACAAGAGCCCACACUGGUGAGAAGCCUUUUGCCUGCUCAGUUUGUGGUCAAAGAUUCUCCCUGAAUAUGAACUUAAAAAGUCACAUAAGAACCCACACUGGUGAGAAGUCUUUUGCCUGCCCAGUUAGUGGUCAAAGAUUCUCUCAAAAGGGACAUUUGACAAAAUAACACACGCUGGAGAGAAACCCUUUUCCUGCUCAGUUUGUGUUAAAAUGUUCUCUCAUAAGCAUCUGGCUAAGAACCAUAAGUGUGUUGGUGAGAAUAGCAGUGCUCAAUGAAAGUGUCACCUCCUAUCGGAAAGAGCCGGCAGCUGCAGCUGAAGGGGGGGAGGCAACCUAAGAAGGGGUUUGCUAAGACUAUGAAGGGUGUGUCUGUGAAUUAAUGGACAAGGACAACCAGUGCAGCAACUGGCUGCAUGGAUGAGGCAAGCUGGAUGACAAGGAUGCUGUAACAUUCAUUUUGGCUCCGUGUUCUCAGUCUCUGACUCCGGACCAGAGCAGUCAAAGGUGGUGCCAGCGUGACAACUAACGUGCCCGGUGGGUUCUAUUUAACCGAAGAUAAGGUGGAGAAUGCAGCCAAACAGAGAAAGACAUUGAAGUGGAAUGAGCUGAAGCGGGUGAACCACAUGGAUUUUUCAGAAUCAACUCUCAGCCAUAUUUGACAUGUAUUCAUCCAGGUCCAGCUGACAAUGAUGCGCGUGCGGCUGCCGGCCUGCAAGUAUGUGAGGUUACUUACUGUAAGGUAGUGGUAGGGUAGAGUGUGACUAGACAUGAGGAUGGUGGUGUGUAGGAUGACUGGUGGUGGAGAGGAAGAUUAAGAAGACAAGGCAGAGCAGAGAAUCAUGUGAGAGAAGAACUGGUCCUGCAUGCGGAGGUCUGGUGUGGCAGAGAUGUAUGUAUGUUAGUUUGUAUGUAUGUUAGUUUCAGGUGGAGGUGGGAGUGCAUCAUGGAUCACCCCUAAGACCCUUCCCGUUUGCAGUGGUGAUGGAUUAGGCUGACAGAUGAGGUAAGACUGGAAUCCCCCGUGGACCAUGAUGUUCGCAGAUGACCUGCAGUGAAAGCAGUGAGCAGGUAGAGGCAUGCACUGGAAAGGAGAGGAAUGAAGAUUAGCCAAGGUAAGACAAUAUAUCUGCAUGAAUGAGAGGGGUGGUGGGGGAAGAGUGAGGGUGGAGGUCUUCUAAUACUUGGGGUCAACAGUCCAGAGCAAUGGUCUCCCUUGGCAGUGAUUAGAUCUCCCUAAACAUGAACACACAAGUAGUUCUGUUGUCAAUAAAAAAUUUUUUUAAAAAGUAUGCAGCUUGAAAAGAAAAAAAACAAAUGUCACCAUUGCAGUCUUCUGUUUUACAAGAAGAUUAUCACCAAACGUGUCGUAAGGAAACAAAUAGAAAAAUCAAGAUGUUUCAGUCGAGGAUCAUUUAAAAAGUGUCUGCCAGGACCCUAAAAAUGGCAAAAAAUAAAGCUGUACUACAUUAAACUGUAUGUUAAAUAUCCUUUACCGCUUAUCCUCACGUGGGUCACGAGCGUGUUGGAGGCUAUCCCAGCUAUCUUCGGGUCCACCCUGAACUGGGUCGCCAGCCAAUCGCAGCGCAUGCAAAACGAUGUAUUAGUUUUUUUGUCAUGAAACUGUUAUUUCAAUGUCUGAUUGGUGAAAUUCAAAACAAACAUUUCUGCGAAGAAUGCUUGCAUAGCGGAAGAGUAAAUGAGACAAUUGUCAAUGUAUAGUGGACUUCAUGCAGAAUGGCCGAGCUGUUCUGUUGCUAACUAACCGAAAUGAAACAAUGGUAAAUUCAGAUUUUGAUGUGCCUGUUAUUUGUUUUUAUUUAAGCUUCAGCGGUGAAGAGUUCCGCUACCGUUUUUCACUUCUUAAAUAAAGUAUUAAGUGAAUGAUACAUAAAAGAUGAAAAUGCUGCAACCAGGAAUGAAAGGCGUGUGUAAAUGAAGGAAGCAAUACUGUGCAUAAAUGACGAUGCUGAAACCGGAAAUGGAAGCUGUUUUAUUUUGAAAUGAUUCUCCUUAGUUCCAGGCCUGAUGGUGGUUGAGGUCUGCGGGAUGGGACUUGAGACAUGAGGUGGAGGUGGUCCUCUGUUUGAAACCGGGUGGAAACAAGGCCUGUGUUU